GUGUGGCCUAGUGGUUGUGACGCCAGGCUCCCACCCUGAUGGUCGUAGGUUCAAACCC
rnacentral:tRNA from 1 species